rnacentral:rRNA from 1 species
GACGAACGCUGGCGGCGUGCUUAACACAUGCAAGUCGAACGGAAAGGCCCAGCUUGCUGGGUACUCGAGUGGCGAACGGGUGAGUAACACGUGGGUGAUCUGCCCCUGACUUUGGGAUAAGCCUGGGAAACUGGGUCUAAUACCGGAUAUGACCUUACAUCGCAUGGUGUUUGGUGGAAAGCUUUUGCGGUUGGGGAUGGGCCCGCGGCCUAUCAGCUUGUUGGUGGGGUAAUGGCCUACCAAGGCGACGACGGGUAGCCGACCUGAGAGGGUGAUCGGCCACACUGGGACUGAGACACGGCCCAGACUCCUACGGGAGGCAGCAGUGGGGAAUAUUGCACAAUGGGCGCAAGCCUGAUGCAGCGACGCCGCGUGAGGGAUGACGGCCUUCGGGUGGUAAACCUCUUUCACCAGGGACGAAGCGUGAGUGACGGUACCUGGAGAAGAAGCACCGGCCAACUACGU